ensembl:lncRNA
CUCCUGGUUUGAAUUAUCCAAGCCCCUGCUCCUUUCCAUAAAUAUGAAUAAUCAAAACUUGAUUGUAUAAGUAUGUGAAUAUAUUAGAAUACAUAUAAAAAUUCAAAUAAAUUAUUAUUUGUAGGCAAGUAGAAAGAAGAUAUACUGGGUCUCAUUUGCUUCAUGGCUAGGAGUUACCUAUGACACUGACAAUUCUGUAAAUUCACCUUUCCCCUCCUUUUCCUUUUGUCUGGGUUCCCAUAUCACACAUUGACAGUGAAUGCCACCCCCUAAAAUUAAAUUGUCCUCCAGAUUGAAAAUUAUGUCAAUGGCUUUGGGAGUAUUCCAUAAAGAACCUGAUACUACAUUUGCUCAAUUCUAUAGGAUGUGAAAGUUUUUUUUUUAAAUAGUUGACUUAAAAGGAUUUCCUUUACAGUUUAAACUGGGCACAAAAGUCUUUAUUCCAAAUCCUAAGGAAAUAGCCAGUUCCACAAAAUCUAAAUGUAAACAAUAAACUCCAAAGGGAGGAUAAUUGAAAAAGGUGGAUCUGCAAUUAUUCACUGUGGAGGGGAAGGUUUAUUGAUACCUGACUUGUUCAGAAUUAUACUCAAGUUGGCCAGGAAUUUUCAGGAUUAUUGUUGCACAACAGCAUAACUGUACAUCUUGUGCCAGUCUUAGGGAAAUCCCAGAAUUAUAGAUGUUCUUGCAUCUUAUGAACUGACAUCUAAUAUACUGAAACAACCUGGUCUAACAUGUCUAGUUGGUGAUUUUGUAAUCUUGUCUCUAGUAACCAGUCAGAAAAAGGUAUUCAGAGAUAGAGCCUUAUAACUGAACUAACCUGGUAAGAGUUUUACUGUGCCAUCCUGGAAAAUUAAAGAUUGAGGUCAUCCUAAGACAGAGGCCUAUUAUCCUGGGAAGAAGCAUAAAGUAGAGCAUAGAGCAUAGGAGAAUUUGGAUUCAAAAUCUGUCUCCAAAACUUAAGUGACCAUGAGAAAGUCAAUGAAGCACAUAGGUUAUAUCACUUCAUCAGGUUACAUUUCUUUUAAAAUAGGAAUGAGUAUAUACCAUGCCAAGUUGUGAGAAUCAAAUGAAAUAUCAGUUACUAUUCUUUGGACUGAGGUCAGAGCCUGAUGUUUUUCCUCAAGCACUUUAAUGGAAAUCUAGCUACUGACUCUCUUUUUCCCUCGGCUUCCCAGACUUUGAUAUAACAGGAGUGCUUUUUCAGAUCUUCUAUAUUUCUUCACACGCUGCCUACGUGACCCUAGACAAAUCACUUAGCAAUCUCAGUACUCUGAGUAGGUCUGGACUAUAACUUGCAGAGAAGGUGUCAAUUGGCACUGAUAAAGUUUCUUCAGAUAUGACACCAAUGAAAUCAGUCCAGCCAGUAUUCCUUCUUCCAAAUUUUUCACUGUAAUAGCUAUCUUAAAGCGUCUAGAGACAUAACAGCUAUUUUUAAAUACUUGCCAGGGUUUCUCAGGGAACAGAGAGCAGCCUCUUCAUGCUUGGCCUUCCAAAGGACAGAAUCCGAAGUUGAAAAGAGGUAUUUAGGCUUAAAAAUCUGAAAAUUUUUUUUUUUUUAAAAAGUAGCACUGCAUGAUACAGUAUAUAGAGCAUUUAACUUGAAUUUGGGAAGGGCUGGGUUCGAAUCCCACCUCAGACUUUUAUAAGCCAUAAGACUCUGAGGAAAGUUCUUCGGAGGUGGAAGAUUCAAAGCUUCUAAGAGUCCCUUCCAGCUCUUAUGAUCUUACAAUGUGGAAUGGGAAAUAAUGAGCUCUUCAUCACUAGAGGUCUUCAAGGGGAGGCUGGAUGACUGAGCUCUUGCUUAUUAGAGGUCUUCAGGGGGAGAUUGGAUGACUGGAUUGUUCAUCACUAGAGGUCUUCAAGGGGAGGCUGGAUGACUGACUGAGCUCUUGCUCACUAAGAAGUCUUUAAGGGGAGGCUGGAUGACUGCCUGGGAGCUGCUCAUCUUAGAAGUCUUUAAGGGAAGCUGGGAUGACUGAGCUCUUGCUCACUAGAGAUCUUCAUGAUCUCUAGAUCUAAAUCUAGAUCUAAAUGGUGGGCUGUUCAUCACUAGAAGUCUUCAUGAUCUCUAAAUCUAGAUCUAGAUCAUGGGCUAUUCAUCACUAGAGGUCUUCAUGAUCUCUAAAUCUAGAUCUAGAUUGUGGGCUGUUCAUCACUAGAAGUCUUCAUGAUCUCUAAAUCUAGAUCUAGAUCGUGGGCUGUUCAUCACUAGAGAUCUUCAUGAUCUCUAAAUCUAAAUCUAGAUCUAGAUCGUGGGCUGUUCAUCACUAGAGAUCUUCAUGAUCUCUAAGUCUAAAUCUAGAUCUAGAUC